ACUUGGUUAUUUGUGGGACGUCUCGCUUGCUUGUCAUUUGUCUUUGACUUUACUGUAUUUCUAAAAGAACAUGUAUGCACUCCUGCUUUGGGAUUUCACAACUUUCUCUUCGGAUUUAAGUAUAUGCCCCAUCUUUUCUUGUGGUUUCUUCAUCUCUCUUUUUGAUUCUGCACAUGCAUGUGAAUAGAACAACUAUGCAAGAGUACACAUAGUGUUGUACCCAGGGUGUUUGAUGAUAUGCCUCAAGUAAAUUAACAAUUACUCCAUCCGUUUCAAUUUAUGUGAGCCCAUUUGACUAGUUGGAAUACAAUGGUCAGUUGGUCACACAAUUUUGAUUUCACAUGCUUUUGAAGUGAAAGUCGCUCAAGGUGGGGAAAAACGGAACUGCUUUAACUAUAAAAGGUUUUAAGUCUCAAAAGAACGACAUUCACACUCAAUAUGAGGUUUGAAAACAUUGACAAGAAGCUUAUUUCUUUUGCCAGUCGGAUAUGUGCUCUCAAUCGUAAUUUUUCACUUAGUAAUGGUUAUUGAUUUGCUGGUGAGGUUAAAUACUCUUCCCAUCAUUUUUGUUAUUGUUUCUUGUACUGAGAUUUUAAUUGCUGAGAAGUGUCCUUUUAUAAUUCUUCUCGGCUUUGCAGUUUAAAGAUGUGGAGAUCUUUUCAGUGAGAAAUUCUAUUGGCAUUACAGCAAUGAGUAGUAUUCCUUUCGUAAGGUUCUUUCAUUAUGGAUUUUAUACCACUUGGGGGUUGAUGCUCCACAUUAUUAGUAUGAGAUAAAUUUUGAAAUAUCCAUCUUUAUCAUAGUAAAGAUGGUUCUAUCUGAAGGUAUUCCAGCUAUUCAUUCCACCCUUUGGAGAAAUUUGCCGAGGGUAGUCAAUUCCUGAGUUAUUACAUUUAAUACAAAUUAUAUCCGACAAUUAAUGGAGAUUCUAUUGCAGCUUAUUUGUCUAACUUUCUGUUGACAAGAAAAUUGGAUAAAACUGUAGCUUUUCGGAAAUCAGUAGAUAUUUCCCUUGUGAUAUCUUUUUAAUUUAGUACUAAUUCUUUCAACAAAAUCUUGAUAAAUUGUCGUAUGUCUCCUACUUCCAGGUGAUUUAGUUUCUUUUGUGAGAUCUUUCAACUUGCAUAUGAUUUGAAAGAUGUAGAAUUCUUUGAUGUUACUGCUAAAUUUGCAGUUAAAGAUAAAGGCUAUUGAAACUCAAGGAUUCGGGGGCUGUAGGCCAACUUGUAACUUGGCUCAAAUGGAGAAAGGAAUGUUGAUAUGGACACAGUCGAACAAACCUUAUGAUGAAGUAAGAUCCUUUUUCUCUUGAACCUUUUGCCGCUCCUAGGCUUCAAAAUUGUGAUCUGCAUCACCCAUAUAAUAUUAGCUACCCUUUAACUAAGAUCUGAUCUAAUUGUUCUGUUGGGAAGUUUGUGCGAGUAACUGUUUCUUUAUUCUUCUAUAUCGUUGCACCAGGAUGAACAAGAUGUGCGUAUCCGACUCUGCUUGAGUUAUAUAUUGUCUUUUGUGAUUGGGAGCUUGAACAUGGUUCACAUAUAUUUUGUAUUUGCUCUUUAUUUCCAAAACUUUGAAGAAAAAGAGGUAAAGUAAUAAGGAUAAGUUAAAAGUAAAUUUAUAAAAUUUAGCCAAUUGUUUUCGAGCAUUAUAACAAGGAUAAUUCAAAGAAUAAGUUGCAUGUACUUUAACUAUUUGAAGUAGAAGUAAUAAGUUACUAUCUAAAACAUUCAAAACAAUUUGAAACAGAUGUUAUUUGUUGAAAUUCAUUUAAAUUAUGCUUAUAAUCCUUCUUUGCAUAUGACAUCUUUUUGGUGGUGCUUAUUUUUUACGGACUUCUAAGUUAAUGUUUAUAUUCAGAUUACAUGGUUAUCAAUAAGACUUGAGCUAUGUGAUUAUGGCUUCGAAAGAAUGAUCGUUUCCUUAUCCACGUUACCACGAGAAGUAUUUUUCCUUUUUUUUUUAAUCUAUUUUCAUCAUAGAUUCAACUAUUUCUGUCAGAUUCAUCAAUUAAAAGCAUUUUGAUGAUCCAAGCUUAUUAGAUAUGUCUACAAUUUGACAGUAAGUUAUUGUACUCAAGAUGCAUCAUGAACUUAAACCUUAAUUCAACAAAUAACACCUGUUUGAUGAAAUCUCUCAUUCAGAAUAGCAACCGGAAGUCUCAAAUUGUGCAACACUAUCCAGCCUAACAUUUGUUGUUGAAGAUGACAUAUUCAUGAAUUGGUGUAUCACAAGAAUAAGUGGAGAAUCACAAAUAUAUAAGUUCUCUUAGGUUCAUAGAUGUGCUUAAAUUUGUGAAAUUGCUGGUCCUGAUGCUUCUCUUGCUAAGUUGUUGUAUGUUAAUCUAUGUUUCAAUUGACACUAAUAAAUUACAAUAGGCUGGUUAUGGGAUGAAUGCAAAGGUUUUCUUUGUGGAGAAGAGUUAAGUCGAAAGUGUUCAUAAUACAUAAGUGAUAGAGUGACUUUUCUAUGUGUUGUUCGCUUUAAGUUUCACACAUGCAUAAUAAGUUUCACACAUUCAUAAUUAUUUUACGUUCAUUUUGUGCGGCUUACUUUCUUGAUUGCUUGAUUAUACCGGACAAUUGAACAAACUUGAAGACACUUUAUGGAACUAUAUUACUAUGCUUUCUACCUGUGCCAAAUUCAAGGAUGCCAUAUUCUUUUUGAGAAAUAGAAGAUUGAAAAUAUAGUAACCAUGUGCAUUUAAUUUUGAAAAUAGCAAUUUUCUUAUUUAUAGUCCUUUUGAGUAUGCUAUAAGUGGUUAUAUCUUGUUAUAGGCUCUCUGUAAAAGACUUUAUACCAAAGGAGGAGCCAUGACUGAAAAUUAUUAGCAGAGUAUCAGAAUUGUUCCUAGGGCUUAUCCGUAGUCUCUAAGGAGGUAAUUGUACCACUAUGUACUAAGGAAUUAGUUAUCUGCAAACCUAAGCAGUGGUAAACUUCUAUUCAUUUCUUUAUUCAAUGCAUGUUCUCAAUGUGUCCAUAUAUAUACAUACAAUGCGCACACCUCGGUUAUGGUUUAAUAACUUUGUGUUUGA